CCUACGGGAGGCAGCAGUGGGGAAUAUUGCACAAUGGGGGAAACCCUGAUGCAGCGACGCCGCGUGAGUGAAGAAGUAUUUCGGUAUGUAAAGCCCUAUCAGCAGGGAAGAGAAUGACGGUACCUGAGUCAGAAGCCCCGGCCAACUACGUGCCAGCAGCCGCGGUAAUACGGAGGGGGCAAGCGUUAUCCGGAUUUACUGGGUGUAAAGGGAGCGUAGACGGCGAAGAAAGUGUGAAGUGAAAGCCCGCGGCUCAAACGCGGAACUGCCUUUGAAACUUUUUUGCUGGAGUACCGGAGAGGUAAGCGGAAUUACUAGGGUAGCGGUGAAAUGCGUAGAUAUUAGGAGGAACACCAGUGGCGAAGGCGGCUUACUGGACGGUAACUGACGUUGAGGCUCGAGAGCGUGGGGAGCAAACAGGAUUAGAUACCCCUGUAGUC
rnacentral:rRNA from 1 species